CUUGAACGAUGGCGGCAGGCCUAACACAUGCAAGUCGAGCGAGCGGCGGACGGGUGAGUAAUGUAUGGGGACUGCCCGAUAGAGGGGGAUAACUACUGGAAACGGUGGCUAAUACCGCAUACUAUCGGAUAACCCAUAUGGGAUUAGCUAGUAGGUGGGGUAAAGGCUCACCUAGGCCACGAUCGCUAGCUGGUCUGAGAGAAUGAGGAGCCACACUGGGACUAGGAACCGGACCGAACUCCUGCGGUGACAGAAGAAGGUAAUAUUGCACAGUGGGCUCAAGCCUGAUGCAGCCAUGACGCGUGUAUGAAGAAGGCCUUAGGGGUGUAAAGUACUUUCAGCGGGGAGGAGUUACCCGCAGAAGAAGCACCGGCUAACUCCGUGCCAGCAGCCGCGGUAAUAC
rnacentral:rRNA from 1 species